ensembl:lncRNA
AUUAUAUUAAAGAUAUAUUUUUCCCAUUCCAAUUCACGGAUUCCCUGAAUUCUAUCUAUGCCCCCCUUGGAGGUCCAUGGGUCGCAAGUUAGAACGACUGCUUUAGAAGAGAAUAUGCUUCAUGCUGGAUGCAGUCCAUGGAAGGAAGCAGUAGGAAGUUCAUCCAUUCCCAGAAAUAGUUGGCCCACAUGUGCAAUCUCAGAUUUGUCCAAACUGUUCUGAUUUAAAAAAAAGAAAAAAGAAAAAAGUGUAAACCCCUUCUUUAGACUGAUUUGCCGACCUGAACUUGACCAUAACAGGGACUUACUAUGAUUGUAUUCUAGUCCUGGGAACGUGAUACAAUUUCUAUAAUCUAUCCAUGUGCCGACCUCAACAUCAGUUACCUUCAUCCUCUCCCUCUUCAUCUUCAUUCUCAUGACAUAUAUGUGAUUCUUCCAUGUCUUCCUCUUUUUUUUUUUCAAUAGGCUCCACACCCAGCAUGGAGCCCAACGUGGGGCUUGAACUCCUGACCCUGAGAUCAAGACCUGAGCUGAGAUCAUGAGUCUGACGCUUAACCAACUGAGCCACCUGGGCACCCCAGUGUAUAUGUGAUUCUUGAGGGGCAUUACUGGAAUGGAAGAUGACAGGGACACAGCACGAUAGAGAUAUACUUUCUUGCAUGAAAGAGUGAUGCUUUAUGCUCAGGAAACCUGCAACCAGAAAUAAUAUCUCCAAAACAGAAUUGCACAAAGUUCUACACAGUAUAUGCUUUAAAAUAACCUCUUACAGUAGCAAGGGUUAUGAAUUCUGAGACACUCCAGAUCCCAAUGAAUGGUGUCCAGGACUCUGGGUGACCUUAGUGUCCAGGGAACCUGUGGAAGGAAGAGACAGCAACUGGAGAAAAAGCCCAGGAGGCAGCCUGAUAUUGCAGUCACAGGAGACCAUCCUGGAACCGGCAUCCAGCAAGCUCGCAGCAAGAGCUUACCUGCUUCCCAGAAAAAAAGGGCCACAGCAGAGAAGUCUGAAGAACAUGUUGGCUCGGAGGGGAAAAAGAGGUGGCAAGUGGCCUUUUCUGUCAGGCUUACCUGUCCCCAUCAGCAGCCUCCUCGUGACGUGAUCACUGGCUCUUGCCUUUGUAGUCACCAUGUGUGUGAGAGACGAAAACAUGUCAGAGAAUGUGGAGGGCAGGGAGAGCGGGUGAAAACCACCAGCGGGAGUUUCAACCUGCUCUUGUUUCCUUUUUCCCAGAGGCUGCUCUUUUGCUAUUUUUUUAAUAAAUAUUAUAAAUAUUGUUCAUUUCUUGGCUUUUUAACUUGUCAGUUUGCCUUCUCCCCUUCUCCUUGCAUCUCAGGCCAUGAAUCAUAUAGCGUGGUGUUUAUCAAUCACAGUUUUGCCGCACUUAUGAAAUCACAGAGGGGUUACUUUACGUUAAAAAUGUCGAGCUACACAAAACAUAAUGACAAAUGCACAACGCAUCUAGGGAAACCAGAGCCUGACUCCUGUUGUCUGAGCGAUCAGCUGAGGAGAUGGGUUAUUGACGGAGAAUUUAAGCCUCCGUGUUAUUCUUCCAGAUGUCAUUGUCUGGAUAUCCAUUGCCCUGAAGUUUAUAUUUUUAUUCUCCGGCUUUUCAUUGUAUUCG